ensembl:lncRNA
AGUCGCUCCAUGCUGCUUCCCUCCAGCUCGACGCGGGUGUCAGCGGCGUUGGGAUUCAGUGUGGCAGCAGGGGGGGAAAAUCUGGGAUAUCUGGGAAAGGGGGAGUCGGUGAAAACCGGGAACUAAACCGGCAGAAAACCCCGUCGAAGGCUCGACCGUCACACCGCGGGGUUUCCUAGCGGGCACGAGGCGCCUCUCUCCCGGCUGCUGGCUGCGCACACCCCCCCCCCCUCCUCCCUCAUCCGCACGGGGGAGUGAAGACCGGAGCAGCAAGACCAAAGAGCCGUGGGAACGGGCCACGCUGAAUGAGGGAACAUUGGAGCCUUUUUGUGUUGCCGCUGUGGCAGAGGACCAGUUGAGGCUGUGGGAAACUGGGAUCUGCCCAGUGCCGAUGGAGUGAGAUGCUCAAGGGCACUAAAGCAGCUGAUGUUGGAGGAGCCUCCUCUUUCCUUUCUUAGAUUUCUUCUUGGUUCCUCUUUUCUCCUCAUGUCUGCUCUCCGCUCCAUGUCACCUCCUCUCACCUCCUUUCACCUCCUCUGCUCUUGUAUCCUCUUACCCUUCCUCUCCAUUUCCUACUUUAUGUCCUAUGUUGUCUCCCCUUUUCAUCUCAUUUCCUCUCACAUUGUCUCUUCGGUUCGCUUUUCUUUUCCUCUCCUGCCCACUUGUCUCCUCUUGACUACUAAUUUCCUCUCUCCUCUGUCCUCGCCGAAGGCGGUAAACCAACGUUUUGUGUUUAUUUUCUCACUCCCUCAUAUUGAAAUAGAGGAGACGGGCGAGUGAGGAAGGAGAGAAAGUGGGACGGAAGAAAACGGUAAUAGACGGAGAAGGAGGAGACGAAGAGGGAGGAAUGUAGGGUGGGAGUGUGAUUGCAUGGUCGCAGAGUGACCGACAGCAGCAAAGUAAGCACCCGCCGCCGCGGACGCGCUGGCUUGCAAGUCUCCAGUUAGCGCCGGCCUCUCGGGUGGAGCGUCACACCGGGGCUC